rnacentral:rRNA from 1 species
CAAUAGCGUAUAUUAAAGCUGUUGCGGUUAAAAAGCUCGUAGUUGGAUUUCUGUCAAGGACAACUGGUCCGCCCUCCGGGUGAGCACAUAGUUUGGUCUUGGCAUCUUGCUGGAAACUGUUGCUGCGCUUGGUUGUGUGGUGCAGCUUUCAGCACUCUCACUUUGAGGAAAUUGGAGUGUUUCAAGCAGGCACAUGCCUUUGGACACAGUAGCAUGGAAUAAUUAGAUUGGGCUUUUGCUCCAACUUGUUGGUUCCUGGAGCUGAGGUGAGAAUCAAUGGGGAUUAUUGGGGGCAUCCGAAUUUAGCCGUCAGAAGUGAAAUUCUUGGAUCUGCUAAAGACGGACAACUGCGAAAGCGUUUGCCCAGGAUGUUUNCAUUGA